rnacentral:misc_RNA from 1 species
AAAAAAGGCCUUCGUCUUAGCUGAUAAUUCCAGGUAACCCUCAACAUGUUCCAGUCUCAAGAAAUCUCCAUGUGCCAUUUCCUCUGCUUCAAUAGCUUUGUCAAGAAUGCCACCAGCUGUUGAACUGUGACCUAUGACAAAGCGAAUGAUUAUUCCCUUCUCCUCCAAUUUCUUUCUUUUCUCACCUUGUGGCAUCCAAGUUGCACGAACUGAAUCUCUUCGCUUCCGACUGCUAAAAGCUGUAUUGAUUCCUAUAAUCAUAAAGUAUUUUCUUUUUGAGUUUACAGAUGGGGUUUCAUUUGACAAAGAUUGAUGCUCUGCCUUAGCAGCUGCCAAUUGCUUCUCUAAAGUUGAAAUUUCAUUAUCCAGUG